AACAGAUGUUCCUCAGAAUGGCCAUUCCAGCCUUACCUAGUUUUUGAUGUAAGAGAUGGUCAUGAGGAGAGAGACAACGACUCUUUUAGUAAUCCCCAGGAAGUUAAACUGGUGAUAGAAUUAGUUAAAGCAAUUAAAG